rnacentral:rRNA from 1 species
GACGAACGCUGGCGGCGUGCUUAACACAUGCAAGUCGAACGGAAAGGCCCUGCUUUUGUGGGGUGCUCGAGUGGCGAACGGGUGAGUAACACGUGAGUAACCUGCCCUUUACUUUGGGAUAACUUCAGGAAACUGGGGCUAAUACCGGAUAGGAGCUCCUGCUGCAUGGUGGGGGUUGGAAAGUUUCGGCGGUUGGGGAUGGACUCGCAGCUUAUCAGCUUGUUGGUGGGGUAGUGGCUUACCAAGGCUUUGACGGGUAGCCGGCCUUCGAGGUUGACCGGCCACAUUGGGACUGAGAUACGGCCCAGACUCAUACGGGAGGCAGCAGUGGGGAAUAUUGCACAAAGGGCGGAAGCCUGAUGCAGCAACGCCGCGUGCGGGAUGACGGCCUUCGGGUUGUAAACCGCUUUCGCCUGUGACGAAGAGUGAGUGACGGUAAUGGGUAAAGAAGCACCGGCUAACUACGUG